rnacentral:rRNA from 1 species
UACGUAGGGGGCAAGCGUUGUCCGGAAUUACUGGGCGUAAAGAGCUCGUAGGUGGUUUGCCGCGUUGUUCGUGAAAACUCACAGCUCAACUGUGGGCGUGCGGGCGAUACGGGCAGACUGGAGUACUGCAGGGGAGACUGGAAUUCCUGGUGUAGCGGUGGAAUGCGCAGAUAUCUGGAGGAACACCGGUGGCGAAGGCGGCAUUCUGGACUACAACUGACACUGAGGAACGAAAGCCAGGGGAGCAAACGGG